AUUGAACGCUGGCGGCAGGCCUAACACAUGCAAGUCGAACGGUAGCACAGAGAGCUUGCUCUCGGGUGACGAGUGGCGGACGGGUGAGUAACGUCUGGGAAACUGCCCGAUGGAGGGGGAUAACUACUGGAAACGGUAGCUAAUACCGCAUAACGUCGCAAGACCAAAGUGGGGGACCUUCGGGCCUCACACCAUCGGAUGUGCCCAGAUGGGAUUAGCUAGUAGGUGGGGUAAUGGCUCACCUAGGCGACGAUCCCUAGCUGGUCUGAGAGGAUGACCAGCCACACGGGAGCUGAGACACGGUCCAGACUCCUACGGGAGGCAGCAGUGGGGAAUAUUGCACAAUGGGCGCAAGCCUGAUGCAGCCAUGCCGCGUGUAUGAAGAAGGCCUUCGGGUUGUAAAGUACUUUCAGCGGGGAGGAAGGCGGUGAGGUUAAUAACCUCGCCGAUUGACGUUACCCGCAGAAGAAGCACCGGCUAACUCCGUGCCAGCCGCCGCCGUAA
rnacentral:rRNA from 1 species